rnacentral:rRNA from 1 species
CCUACGGGAGGCAGCAGUGAGGAAUAUUGGUCAAUGGGCGAGAGCCUGAACCAGCCAAGUCGCGUGAGGGAGUACUGCCCUAUGGGUUGUAAACCUCUUUUGUCGGGGAGCAAAAGCCGGACGUGUCCGGCUGUGAGAGUACCCGAAGAAAAAGCAUCGGCUAACUCCGUGCCAGCAGCCGCGGUAAUACGGAGGAUGCGAGCGUUAUCCGGAUGUAUUGGGUUUAAAGGGUGCGCAGGCGGAUUUUUAAGUCAGCGGUAAAAUCGUGGGGCUCAACCCCAUCCAGCCGUUGAAACUGGGGAUCUAGAGUGUGCGAGAGGUAUGCGGAAUGCGUGGUGUAGCGGUGAAAUGCAUAGAUAUCACGCAGAACCCCGAUUGCGAAGGCAGCAUACCGGUGCACAACUGACGCUCAGGCACGAAAGCGUGGGUAUCGAACAGGAUUAGAUACCCUUGUAGUC